rnacentral:rRNA from 1 species
AACGAACGCUGGCGGCGUGCUUAACACAUGCAAGUCGAACGGAAACGCCCUGCUUUUUUGCGCUGCUCGAGUGGCGAACGGGUGAGUAACACGUGAGUAACGUACCCUUCACUUUGGGAUAACUUAAGGAAACUGGGGCUAAUACCGGAUAGGAGCUCCUGCUGCUUGGUGGGCGUGGGAAAGUUUCGGCGGUUGGGGAUGGACUCGCGGCUUAUGAGCUUGUUGGUUGGGUAGUGGCUUACCAAGGCUUUGAAGGGUAGCCGACCUGAGAGGUUGACCGGCCCCAAUGGGCCUGAGAUAAGGCCCAGACUCGUACGGUAGGCAGCAGGGGGGAAUAUUGUACAGUGGGAGGGAGCAUGAUGCGACAACGCUGCGUGCGGGAUGACGGCAUGCGGGUAGUAAACCGCAUCCGCUUGUGACGAAGCGUUAGUGACGGUACUGGGUGAAGAAGCACCGGCUAACUACGUG